rnacentral:tRNA from 1 species
GCUGACGUAGCUCAAACGGAAGAGCGGCUGAUUUGUAAUCAGCAGGUUGCGGGUUCGACUCCCGCCGUCAGCUCCA